GCUUGUCUCAAAGAUUAAGCCAUGCAUGUCUAAGUACAAGCCUCAGUAAGGUGAAACCGCGAAUGGCUCAUUAAAUCACACCUAAUCUACUGGAAAGUUACUAGUUACUUGGAUAACUGAGGUAAUUCUAGAGCUAAUACAUGCGAAAAGACCCGACUUUUUGGAAGGGUUGUAUUUAUUAGAUACAAAACCAAUGCGGAGCAAUCCGGUUUGUGGUGAUUCAUAAUAACUUUGCGAAUCGCAUGGCCUUGUGCCGGCGAUGAAUCAAUCAAAUUUCUGCCCUAUCAACUUUCGAUGGUACGGUAUUGGCCUACCAUGGUUACAACGGGUAACGGGGAAUUAGGGUUCGGUUCCGGAGAGGGAGCCUGAGAAAUGGCUACCACAUCCAAGGAAGGCAGCAGG
rnacentral:rRNA from 1 species